rnacentral:rRNA from 1 species
CUACGGGUCGCUGCAGUGGGGAAUAUUGCACAAUGGAGGAAACUCUGAUGCAGCAACGCCGCGUGGAGGAUGACACUUUUCGGUGCGUAAACUCCUUUUAUAGGUCAAGAUAAUGACGGUAGCCUAUGAAUAAGCGCCGGCUAACUCCGUGCCAGCAGCCGCGGUAAUACGGAGGGCGCAAGCGUUACUCGGAAUCACUGGGCGUAAAGAGCGUGUAGGCGGAUUAAAAAGUCAGAAGUGAAAUCCUAUAGCUUAACUAUAGAACUGCUUCUGAAACUCUUAAUCUAGAAUAUGGGAGAGGUAGAUGGAAUUUCUGGUGUAGGGGUAAAAUCCGUAGAGAUCAGAAGGAAUACCGAUUGCGAAGGCGAUCUACUAGAACAUUAUUGACGCUGAGACGCGAAAGCGUGGGGAGUAAACAGGAUUAGAUACCCUGGUAGUC